CCUACGGGCGGCUGCAGUCGAGAAUCUUCGGCAAUGGGCGAAAGCCUGACCGAGCGACGCCGCGUGCGGGAUGAAGGCCUUCGGGUUGUAAACCGCUGUCAGAGGGGAUGAAGUUCUAGGAGGUACUCCUUCUAGAUUGACAGAGCCUCAGAGGAAGCACGGGCUAAGUAUGUGCCAGCAGCCGCGGUAAUACAUACUGUGCGAACGUUAUUCGGAUUUACUGGGCUUAAAGGGUGCGUAGGCGGUUCGUUAAGUCGGAUGUGAAAUCCCUCGGCUCAACCGGGGAAUGGCAUUCUAAACUGGCGGGCUAGAGUGAGAUAGGGGUGUCCGGAACUGCCGGUGGAGCGGUGAAAUGUGUUGAUAUCGGCAGGAACGCCGGUGGCGAAAGCGGGACACUGGGUCUCAACUGACGCUGAGGCACGAAAGCCAGGGGAGCGAACGGGAUUAGAUACCCCGGUAGUC
rnacentral:rRNA from 1 species